GUUCAGUUAGUCCGAUAUGGCAAGUUUUGGGUCCAUUUCUGCCCAAUUUUCGAUGUUCAGUUUUUAUGAUUUGUAUCAGACGGGCCCAAAGAAAAGGGGUAGGCCCGCACUAUUCAUCAAAUAUACUCCGAAAAUAAAACGGGAGAGAUGCGUGCUUUACAAAUGUGAGGCGGUCAGAUUUGAGCUAAUUGGGCAGCAAAAGACAAAUUUGCCCUCUGCAAAAUUUGAAUCCCCCAAAUCGUGAAUUGCAGCUCUCAUUUUCUACCUCUACGUGCCCUAUUCGGUGAGACGCCGCUCCACCAAUUUCACCACUCUCCAAGCACAGUGUAGAACAUCCGUCCACCGGAAUUGGCGAGUUUGAUUGGUCGCGGCAGUUCCCAGAGCCACCGUCGGAUAUUGAAGGCAUUAUUUUGCAGGAAAGAGACAUGUCGACUGCUUCUUCAGGAGGCAGGAUGAGCUCUCCGACGAUUAACUAUGCAAGGCUCCACAUGUUGCUGGAGGAUAUAAUGCUUGUCUAUCAUGUUGAGACCACCAUCCUCGUACAACGAUAUAAAAGCGCACGAACACGAAGAGCAAAACGUAUAAUUGUUCAGAACGCCAGGCGAUAUAGCGUCUUGAAUAAAAUACCCUCUCAAUUGGAAUACCUAGACCGUCUAGUGAACUUGACGGAUGCCGACUGCAUCGCAAAUCUGCCUAUGGAUCGUAACACAUUCGGGAGGUUGUGCCGAAUUCUAGUUGAACGAGGAGGUUUGCGCCCUGGUAGGUGUCUUGGUGUCGAAGAAAUGGUGGCAAUCUUUGUUGGGGUCCUAUCACACCAUAAAAAGAAUCGGAUAGUAGGUUUCCAUUUCAAAAGGUCAGGUGCGACAGUGUCAUAUCACGUCAAUAAUGUACUUGGUGCGGU